AGAACGAACGCUGGCGGCAGGCCUAACACAUGCAAGUCGAGCGGAUCCUUCGGGAUUAGCGGCGGACGGGCGAGUAACGCGUGGGAACAUACCCUUUGGUACGGAAUAGCCUCGGGAAACUGAGAGUAAUACCGUAUGUGCCCUUCGGGGGAAAGAUUUAUCGCCAAAGGAUUGGCCCGCGUUGGAUUAGGUAGUUGGUGGGUAAUGGCCUACCAAGCCGACGAUCCAUAGCUGGUUUGAGAGGAUGAUCAGCCACACGUGGGACUGAGACACGGCCCAGACUCCGACGGAGCAGCAGGUGGGAAUCUAAGACAAGUACGGGGAAACCUGAUCUAGCCAGUCGCCG
rnacentral:rRNA from 1 species